UACGAGGGGGGCAAGCGUUGUUCGGAAUUAUUGGGCGUAAAGGGCGCGUAGGCGGUGCGGUAAGUCUGAUGUGAAAUCUCCGGGCUCAACUCGGAGUCUGCAUCAGAAACUGCCGUGCUCGAGUGUGGGAGAGGUGAGUGGAAUUCCGAGUGUAGAGGUGAAAUUCGUAGAUAUUCGGAAGAACACCAGUGGCGAAGGCGACUUACUGGACACAUAUUGACGCUGAGGUGCGAAAGCGUGGGGAGCAAACAGG
rnacentral:rRNA from 1 species